UACGUAGGGUGCGAGCGUUGUCCGGAAUUAUUGGGCGUAAAGAGCUCGUAGGCGGUGUGUCGCGUCGGUCGUGAAAACUUGGGGGCUUAACCCUGAGCUUGCGGUCGAUACGGGCAUCACUGGAGUUCGGCAGGGGAGACUGGAAUUCCUGGUGUAGCGGUGAAAUGCGCAGAUAUCAGGAGGAACACCGGUGGCGAAGGCGGGUCUCUGGGCCGAUACUGACGCUGAGGAGCGAAAGCGUGGGGAGCGAACAGG
rnacentral:rRNA from 1 species